rnacentral:rRNA from 1 species
GACGAACGCUGGCGGCGUGCUUAACACAUGCAAGUCGAACGGUAAGGCCCUUCGGGGUACACGAGUGGCGAACGGGUGAGUAACACGUGGGUGAUCUGCCCUGCACUUCGGGAUAAGCCUGGGAAACUGGGUCUAAUACCGGAUAGGACCACUGCCUGCAUGGGUGGUGGUGGAAAGCUUUUGCGGUGUGGGAUGGGCCCGCGGCCUAUCAGAUUGUUGGUGGGGUGAUGGCCUACCAAGGCGACGACGGGUAGCCGGGCUGAGCGGGUGACCGGCCACACUGGGACUGAGAUACGGCCCAGAAUCCUACGGGAGGCAGCAGUGGGGAAUAUUGCACAAUGGGCGCAAGCCUGAUGCAGCGACGCCGCGUGAGGGAUGACGGUCUUCGGGUUGUAAACCUCUUUCAGCAUCGACGAAGCGCAAGUGACGGUAGGUGCAGAAGAAGGACCGGCCAACUACGUGCCAGCCGCCGCCGUAA